UUAGAGUGUUUUAGGGCUUUAUUCACAAUUAAAAGAAGCUAAAGCGAAUAUUUUUUUAAUCUAUGUUUUAAAGGACAUUCUGCUAAGUUAAAAAUGAAAUGGAUUUUAUUUCUUCAAUCAAGAUUUUAUUUUUAUUUGUUAAAUAUUGAGGAUAAAAUCAUUAUUUAUGAUUUGAUAUUUUAUUUUUUCUUUAGUAAAUAAAAAAUUGGGAAAUAUGUAGAGAC